AGUAUGUGGUUUAAUUCGAAGCAACGCGCAGAACCUUACAACCCUUGACAUCCUUGGACCGCCAGAGAGAUCUGGUUUUCUCGUAAGAGACCAAGUGACAGGUGCUGCAUGGCUGUCGUCAGCUCGUGUCGUGAGAUGUUCGGUUAAGUCCGGCAACGAGCGCAACCCACAUCCCUAGUUGCCAGCAGGUUAAGCUGGGCACUCUAUGGAAACUGCCCGUGAUAAGUGGGAGGAAGGUGUGGAUGACGUCAAGUCCUCAUGGCCCUUACGGGUUGGGCUACACACGUGCUACAAUGGCAGUGACAAUGGGUUAAUCCCAAAAAGCUGUCUCAGUUCGGAUUGGGGUCUGCAACUCGACCCCAUGAAGUCGGAAUCGCUAGUAAUCGCGUAACAGCAUGACGCGGUGAAUACGUUCCCGGGCCUU
rnacentral:rRNA from 1 species